GGUUAAGCGACUAAGCGUACACGGUGGAUGCCCUGGCAGUCAGAGGCGAUGAAGGACGUGCUAAUCUGCGAUAAGCGUCGGUGAGGUGAUAUGAACCGUUAUAACCGGCGAUUUCCGAAUGGGGAAACCCAGUGUGUUUCGACACACUAUCAUUAACUGAAUCCAUAGGUUAAUGAGGCGAACCGGGGGAACUGAAACAUCUAAGUACCCCGAGGAAAAGAAAUCAACCGAGAUUCCCCCAGUAGCGGCGAGCGAACGGGGAGGAGCCCAGAGCCUGAAUCAGUGUGUGUGUUAGUGGAAGCGUCUGGAAAGGCGUGCGAUACAGGGUGACAGCCCCGUACACAAAAAUGCACAUAUUGUGAGCUCGAUGAGUAGGGCGGGACACGUGGUAUCCUGUCUGAAUAUGGGGGGACCAUCCUCCAAGGCUAAAUACUCCUGACUGACCGAUAGUGAACCAGUACCGUGAGGGAAAGGCGAAAAGAACCCCGGCGAGGGGAGUGAAAAAGAACCUGAAACCGUGUACGUACAAGCAGUGGGAGCCUCUUAAUGGGGUGACUGCGUACCUUUUGUAUAAUGGGUCAGCGACUUAUAUUCUGUAGCAAGGUUAACCGAAUAGGGGAGCCGAAGGGAAACCGAGUCUUAACUGGGCGUUAAGUUGCAGGGUAUAGACCCGAAACCCGGUGAUCUAGCCAUGGGCAGGUUGAAGGUUGGGUAACACUAACUGGAGGACCGAACCGACUAAUGUUGAAAAAUUAGCGGAUGACUUGUGGCUGGGGGUGAAAGGCCAAUCAAACCGGGAGAUAGCUGGUUCUCCCCGAAAGCUAUUUAGGUAGCGCCUCGUGAAUUCAUCUCCGGGGGUAGAGCACUGUUUCGGCAAGGGGGUCAUCCCGACUUACCAACCCGAUGCAAACUGCGAAUACCGGAGAAUGUUAUCACGGGAGACACACGGCGGGUGCUAACGUCCGUCGUGAAGAGGGAAACAACCCAGACCGCCAGCUAAGGUCCCAAAGUCAUGGUUAAGUGGGAAACGAUGUGGGAAGGCCCAGACAGCCAGGAUGUUGGCUUAGAAGCAGCCAUCAUUUAAAGAAAGCGUAAUAGCUCACUGGUCGAGUCGGCCUGCGCGGAAGAUGUAACGGGGCUAAACCAUGCACCGAAGCUGCGGCAGCGACGCUUAUGCGUUGUUGGGUAGGGGAGCGUUCUGUAAGCCUGUGAAGGUGUGCUGUGAGGCAUGCUGGAGGUAUCAGAAGUGCGAAUGCUGACAUAAGUAACGAUAAAGCGGGUGAAAAGCCCGCUCGCCGGAAGACCAAGGGUUCCUGUCCAACGUUAAUCGGGGCAGGGUGAGUCGACCCCUAAGGCGAGGCCGAAAGGCGUAGUCGAUGGGAAACAGGUUAAUAUUCCUGUACUUGGUGUUACUGCGAAGGGGGGACGGAGAAGGCUAUGUUGGCCGGGCGACGGUUGUCCCGGUUUAAGCGUGUAGGCUGAUUUUCCAGGCAAAUCCGGAAAAUCAAGGCUGAGGCGUGAUGACGAGGCACUACGGUGCUGAAGCAACAAAUGCCCUGCUUCCAGGAAAAGCCUCUAAGCAUCAGGUAACAUCAAAUCGUACCCCAAACCGACACAGGUGGUCAGGUAGAGAAUACCAAGGCGCUUGAGAGAACUCGGGUGAAGGAACUAGGCAAAAUGGUGCCGUAACUUCGGGAGAAGGCACGCUGAUAUGUAGGUGAAGCGACUUGCUCGUGGAGCUGAAAUCAGUCGAAGAUACCAGCUGGCUGCAACUGUUUAUUAAAAACACAGCACUGUGCAAACACGAAAGUGGACGUAUACGGUGUGACGCCUGCCCGGUGCCGGAAGGUUAAUUGAUGGGGUUAGCGGCAACGCGAAGCUCUUGAUCGAAGCCCCGGUAAACGGCGGCCGUAACUAUAACGGUCCUAAGGUAGCGAAAUUCCUUGUCGGGUAAGUUCCGACCUGCACGAAUGGCGUAAUGAUGGCUAGGCUGUCUCCACCCGAGACUCAGUGAAAUUGAACUCGCUGUGAAGAUGCAGUGUACCCGCGGCAAGACGGAAAGACCCCGUGAACCUUUACUAUAGCUUGACACUGAACAUUGAGCCUUGAUGUGUAGGAUAGGUGGGAGGCUUUGAAGUGUGGACGCCAGUCUGCAUGGAGCCGACCUUGAAAUACCACCCUUUAAUGUUUGAUGUUCUAACGUUGGCCCGUAAUCCGGGUUGCGGACAGUGUCUGGUGGGUAGUUUGACUGGGGCGGUCUCCUCCUAAAGAGUAACGGAGGAGCACGAAGGUUGGCUAAUCCUGGUCGGACAUCAGGAGGUUAGUGCAAUGGCAUAAGCCAGCUUGACUGCGAGCGUGACGGCGCGAGCAGGUGCGAAAGCAGGUCAUAGUGAUCCGGUGGUUCUGAAUGGAAGGGCCAUCGCUCAACGGAUAAAAGGUACUCCGGGGAUAACAGGCUGAUACCGCCCAAGAGUUCAUAUCGACGGCGGUGUUUGGCACCUCGAUGUCGGCUCAUCACAUCCUGGGGCUGAAGUAGGUCCCAAGGGUAUGGCUGUUCGCCAUUUAAAGUGGUACGCGAGCUGGGUUUAGAACGUCGUGAGACAGUUCGGUCCCUAUCUGCCGUGGGCGCUGGAGAACUGAGGGGGGCUGCUCCUAGUACGAGAGGACCGGAGUGGACGCAUCACUGGUGUUCGGGUUGUCAUGCCAAUGGCACUGCCCGGUAGCUAAAUGCGGAAGAGAUAAGUGCUGAAAGCAUCUAAGCACGAAACUUGCCCCGAGAUGAGUUCUCCCUGACUCCUUGAGAGUCCUGAAGGAACGUUGAAGACGACGACGUUGAUAGGCCGGGUGUGUAAGCGCAGCGAUGCGUUGAGCUAACCGGUACUAAUGAACCGUGAGGCUUAACCUU
rnacentral:rRNA from 1 species